rnacentral:rRNA from 1 species
AUUGAACGCUGGCGGCAGGCCUAACACAUGCAAGUCGAACGGUAACAGGAAGCAGCUUGCUGCUUCGCUGACGAGUGGCGGACGGGUGAGUAAUGUCUGGGAAACUGCCUGAUUGAGGGGGAUAACUACUGGAAACGGUAGCUAAUACCGCAUAACGUCGCAAGACCAAAGAGGGGGACCUUAGGGCCUCUUGCCAUCGGAUGUGCCCAGAUGGGAUUAGCUAGUAGGUGGGGUAACGGCUCACCUAGGCGACGAUCCCUAGCUGGUCUGAGAGGAUGACCAGCCACACUGGAACUGAGACACGGUCCAGACUCCUACGGGAGUCAGCAGUGGGGAAUAUUGGACAAUGGGCGCAAGCCUGAUGCAGCCAUGCCGCGUGUAUGAAGAAGGCCUUCGGGUUGUAAAGUACUUUCAGCGGGGAGGAAGGGAGUAAAGUUAAUACCUUUGCUCAUUGAUGUUACCCGCAGAAGAAGCACCGGCUAACUCCGUG